rnacentral:lncRNA from 1 species
GUUUAUGUUUAUGUAAUUUAUACGUGUUUCUCAUUUCUUGUUUUUAUAUAUAUAGAUCAGAUCGUUGGUUUCCCCGUCUGAAUGGUUUUAUACUAAUAAUUUUUGGGGGCCUUUAAUAUAGCAUGUUGUUCGGUGUGAGCGUGUUGGCCGUACCUUGACCUAUAAUGGUUUACUUUUAUAAAUAGUGACUUUGAUGGAGAUUUG